rnacentral:rRNA from 1 species
CCUACGGGAGGCAGCAGUAGGGAAUUUUGCACAAUGGGGGAAACCCUGACGCAGCAACGCCGCGUGAUCGAUGGAGCCCUUCGGGGUUUAAAGAUCUGUCAGUGGGGACGAAACCUGACGGUACCCACAGAGGAGACACCGGCUAACUCCGUUCCAGCAGCCGCGGUAAUACGGGGGGUGCAAGCGUUGUGCGGAAUCAUUGGGCGUAACGAGUGCGUAGGUGGGACGUUAAGUCUGGUGUUAAAGGAGGAAGCUCAACGUCCGGAGGGCACUGGAUACUGUCGAGCUAGAAUGCUGUAGAGGUAAAGGGAAUUCCUGGUGUAGCGGUGAAAUGCGUAGAUAUCAGGAGGAACAUCGGUGGCGUAAGCGCUUUACUGGGCCGUAAUUGACACUGAGGAACGAAAGCCGGGGUAGCAAAUGGGAUUAGAUACCCCAGUAGUC